UACGUAGGGACCGAGCGUUGUCCGGAAUCAUUGGGCGUAAAGAGCGUGUAGGCGGCUAUUUAAGUCCUGCGUGAAAUCCUGCGGCUCAACCGCAGACGGUCGUGGGAAACUGGAUGGCUAGAGUGUGGGAGAGGAGAGUGGAAUUCCCGGUGUAGCGGUGAAAUGCGCAGAUAUCGGGAAGAACACCCGUGGCGAAGGCGGCUCUCUGGAACGCAACUGACGCUGAGACGCGAAAGCGUGGGGAGCAAACAGG
rnacentral:rRNA from 1 species